rnacentral:lncRNA from 1 species
UGACAGUAAGGUUACAACACGAAGAUAAAGCUGACAAGUUGGAGAUAAAUUCAGUUAAGAAAUUUGAGAUGCCGUAGAUUUAGGUAAUUGUAAACUGAUCAAUCCACAGGUUGGAGACAACUACUGUGCAAUUCAGGUAAUUGUGAACUGAUCAUCUACCAAUUGUUCAGAUGCCGCAGAGGUCCAUCUACCACUCAGGUAUUUUAGUCCAUCCGACAACAAGAAUGAAACUCAC